GUGCCCCUUUAAGUGACGUAAGAGGCUAACACAGAAGGGCAAAUUCUCCGUAAAACCCAGAAAGGAGACUGUAAAACUCCUCUUUGGAUCCUGUCUGAGUCACGCUG
ensembl:snoRNA